AGAGGAGGAGGAUAUGGAUAACAAUGAUGAUCUUGCUGGAGAUGCCAUUGAAAGUGAUGACAAGGAAGAACAGGUACCAGCAGAACGGCCUCCCAAAACAUCAAAAUUUAUAGCUUCAUCAUGUACUCAUCAAGUGUGCUUAAUAUCUGGAUGAAGAUUCAUAGUUGAAGGCUACAGACUUUGGCUUGUCAGAUUUUGUGAAACCAGAUGAAAAGUUUAUCAAAAUUGCUGGUAGUACAUACUGUGUAGCCCCCAAAGUGUUACAUAUGGCUUAUGGUACAGAGGCUGAUGUCUGGAGCGUAGGUGUGAUUGCACACAUUCUAUUGUGUGGCAGCUGUCCAUUUUGGCCUUGAACGAAGUUUGGCAUUUUUCGGGCAGUUCUAAAAGUUGAUCCAAGUUUCAAUGAACCUUGGCCACAUUCUCUACAGAGGCAAAAGUAAUUUGGUCAAGCGCCUAUUGAAUCAA